GCGCACGUGGCGAAAUGGUAGACGCGCAGCGUUGAGGUCGCUGUGUCUGAUUUAAGGACGUGCUGGUUCAAGUCCAGUCGUGCGCA
rnacentral:tRNA from 1 species